rnacentral:rRNA from 1 species
UGCAAGUCGGGCGGUAACAGGGGGAAGCUUGCUUCUCUGCUGACGAGCGGCGGACGGGUGAGUAAUGUAUGGGGAUCUGCCUGAUGGCGGGGGAUAACUACUGGAAACGGUAGCUAAUACCGCAUAAUGUCUUCGGACCAAAGCGGGGGACCUCCGGGCCUCGCGCCAUCAGAUGAACCCAUAUGGGAUUAGCUAGUAGGUGAGGUAACGGCUUACCUAGGCGACGAUCCCUAGCUGGUCUGAGAGGAUGAUCAGCCACACUGGGACUGAGACACGGCCCAGACUCCUACGGGAGGCAGCAGUGGGGAAUAUUGCACAAUGGGCGCAAGCCUGAUGCAGCCAUGCCGCGUGUAUGAAGAAGGCCUUCGGGUUGUAAAGUACUUUCAGUCGGGAGGAAGGUGUCAAGGUUAAUAACCUUGGCAAUUGACGUUACCGACAGAAGAAGCACCGGCUAACUCCGUGCCGCAGCGGGG